rnacentral:rRNA from 1 species
UGGGGAAUUUUGGACAAUGGGCGAAAGCCUGAUCCAGCCAUGCCGCGUGAGUGAAGAAGGCCUUCGGGUUGUAAAGCUCUUUUAGUCGGAAAGAAAGAGUUGCAAUGAAUAAUUGUGAUUUAUGACGGUACCGACAGAAAAAGCACCGGCUAACUACGUGCCAGCAGCCGCGGUAAUACGUAGGGUGCGAGCGUUAAUCGGAAUUACUGGGCGUAAAGGGUGCGCAGGCGGUCUUGCAAGUCAGAUGUGAAAGCCCCGGGCUUAACCUGGGAAUUGCGUUUGAAACUACAAGACUAGAGUGCAGCAGAGGGGAGUGGAAUUCCAUGUGUAGCAGUGAAAUGCGCAGAGAUGUGGAAGAACACCGAUGGCGAAGGCAGCUCCCUGGGUUGACACUGACGCUCAUGCACGAAAGCGUGGGGAGCAAACA